UCUACUGCUUCCAAUAUUCACAGUUGUUUGUACUCUCAGUCCCGCUGAACUAUGUCUCUUUAUGUACUUCGUGCUUUUUUCUGGGUGUAGAGAAUACAAACAUCCAUUCAGAUCGGCUUAACUUUGAGUUUAUCCCCAGAAAAUUCAAGUGGACUUAUGAUGCUGCCUGGCGGUAAAACUGCGUUUCCUUAACCGGUUAUUCCAUCUAGCACAGUGGAACACAGUGCUUGGUACAUCAUAUAAUCAGUUCAUGCUUUUAGGAUGAAUGAAAUAAAAUCCAAUUAUAUGUCACAUGCAAACAAUGCAACAGUGAUGAAGAGUGUUGGUUCUAUUCUUGAACCCAACCACCUGUAGAAACUGUGGACAAGAGAUAGCAAUGACUUUCCCAAGUCACAAAAUAAGUCAGCAGCACAGAAGAAAAUUGGUCCCAGAAUAUUUGACUCCAAGACCAGUGAUGGCAAGUGGGAUGUUUCCCUGUCUCUUGCACACCAAAAGGGUCACUGCAUAGCUAGCAUGUUAAGGAACAUGCCAUACAGUAAAAGUCAAAUAAAGACUAUCCUCUGCAUAGGUGAA